AUUUCAUGUUCCUAUUCUGCCUGCCAACAGAAAAAUUACCAUUACCAUCUCCAGGAAAGGAUUGCCCAUGUUCCAACCUUUCAUCCUUGCAACUUAAGUGGCAUGAACCACCAUCCUCAACAAAAUAUUGCCUUGAAAGUUGUGCAACAGCUCUGGAAGCUAGGCUUGCAUGUUCUGCAAACUCAGCCGCUGCUUGAGCAGCAGAGGUAGCAUCCUUAAAUUUCAUGUUCCAAUUCUGCCUGCCAACAGAAAAUUUACCAUUUCCACCUCCAGGAAAUGAUUGACCAUAUUCCAACCUCUCAUCCUUGAAACCUAAGUGGCAUGAACCACCAUCAUCAACACAAUAUUACCUUUAAUGUUCGACAACAACUCUGGCAGCUAGUCUUGCAUAUUCUGCAAAGUCAGCCGCUGCUUGAGCAGCAUAUGUAGCAUGCUUAAAUUUCAUGUUCCAAUUCUACCUGCCAACAGAACAAUUACCAUUACCAUCUCGAGGAAAUGAUUGCCCGUGUUCCAACCUUUCAUCCUUGAAACCUAAGUGGCAUGAACCACCAUCCUCAAUACAAUAUUACCUUGAAAGUUCGACAACAACUGAUGUUUGGCAUAUUUCGAUAUGUGUUGAUGUUACUUUACCCAUGUUUUAACCACUUCUUGAUGUUAUUUAAUCUUUAAAACUCCCAACAUGGUGUAAUUAUUGGUUUGAUGACUAACUAAGUUAUGUGUGACGAUUUAAGGUGUUCGGAGUGCAAAAUAUGAAGAAAAUGUGGUUUAGCCAGAGGAAGAAGGGUUGGAUGCGUCGCAUCUAACCUAGGAAAACAUCAUCCUGCGUGCAACCUUAGCAGUGAAGUUGGGCCA
rnacentral:lncRNA from 1 species